ACCGAAUAUGACCGCGCACUUCCUGGUGUGUGGUGGAAAGCUUUUGCGGUGUGGGAUGGGCCCGCGGCCUAUCAGCUUGUUGGUGGGGUAAUGGCCUACCAAGGCGACGACGGGUAGCCGGCCUGAGAGGGUGACCGGCCACACUGGGACUGAGAUACGGCCCAGACUCCUACGGGAGGCAGCAGUGGGGAAUAUUGCACAAUGGGCGCAAGCCUGAUGCAGCGACGCCGCGUGAGGGAUGACGGCCUUCGGGUUGUAAACCUCUUUCAAUAGGGACGAAGCGCAAGUGACGGUACCUAUAGAAGAAGGACCGGCCAACUACGUGCCAGCAGCCGCGGUAAUACGUAGGGUCCGAGCGUUGUCCGGAAUUACUGGGCGUAAAGAGCUCGUAGGUGGUUUGUCGCGUUGUUCGUGAAAACUCACAGCUUAACUGUGGGCGUGCGGGCGAUACGGGCAGACUAGAGUACUGCAGGGGAGACUGGAAUUCCUGGUGUAGCGGUGGAAUGCGCAGAUAUCAGGAGGAACACCGGUGGCGAAGGCGGGUCUCUGGGCAGUAACUGACGCUGAGGAGCGAAAGCGUGGGGAGCGAACAGGAUUAGAUACCCUGGUAGUCCACGCCGUAAACGGUGGGUACUAAGGUGUGGGUUUCCUUCCUUGGGAUCCGUGCCGUAGCUAACGCAUUAAGUACCCCGCCUGGGGAGUACGGCCGCAAGGCUAAAACUCAAAGAAAUUGACGGGGGCCCGCACAAGCGGCGGAGCAUGUGGAUUAAUUCGAUGCAACGCGAAGAACCUUACCUGGGUUUGACAUGCACAGGACGCCAGUAGAGAUAUUGGUUCCCUUGUGGCCUGUGUGCAGGUGGUGCAUGGCUGUCGUCAGCUCGUGUCGUGAGAUGUUGGGUUAAGUCCCGCAACGAGCGCAACCCUUAUCUUAUGUUGCCAGCGCGUAAUGGCGGGGACUCGUGAGAGACUGCCGGGGUCACUCGGAAGAAGGUGGGGAUGACGUCAGUCAUCAUGCCCCUUAUGUCCGGGCUUCCACAUGCUACAUGGCCGGUACAAAGG
rnacentral:rRNA from 1 species